rnacentral:lncRNA from 12 species
UUUACAUCUGUAGAAAUGUCUUGGAACCUGAAGGACCCCGCUGUGCUUAUGAACACUUGGAUUCAUUGCUGGCAUGAAUUGUCUCUUCAGAAUAAAGUGGGAGUACUACUUGGCAGCCACUUAAUUAGUCUGUGAUUGAAGAUCUGCUACAAGGAUCAUCAUUCAAAUGCAAAGAUGAAAAGUAGAAAUUGAAACAAAAUCUAAAGAACAAGGAUGAAAGGAAGACAUAUCUG